rnacentral:lncRNA from 1 species
AGUCAUGCUCAAACUCCGGUAAGUAGACCCACACCUGUAUGAGAAAAUUAAGACCAAAUAAAGUUAAAGACCUAGAACACUAUGUGAGAUAAUAACCCUUCCUGUUGGACACAUGCAAGACAUGAUUGUGACUAUUUUUCUAAAAUUAACCUAUGUGGCUAAAAGUGGCUAAAAAUGCAAGAUUUGGCUAAGACCCCGCGAAACCAUGAACCUAAGACUCACUAGGAAGACCGGAAAUUAUGUGGGUUUCCUACGUAUCACGCCCCAAAAGACGAGAAUCAUGUAUCCGUAGUUCGGGCAAAUUGGAUACGGGCAAGAAUUGAAAAAAUAACUAAUUUAGAAAAAAAAAUAUUUUUUUUCUGAAAAAAUGAUGAAACAUGUAAACUCUUUUUGGAUUUUCUUUUCCUUUUUUUGAUUUUUUUGAUUUUCAGAAAAUGAUGAAAAAGUUCCAAAAAAAAUUGAAUUUUUCAUUUUUUUUUCUUUUCUUAACCAAAAUGUGAAAGAAAAACAUAAUUGGGCCUUACUUGCUUUAUUUUCACACUUCACCAUCUCUUUUUCCUUUUUUUUCAUUUGCCCUCAACUAUCAUUGGUCCACCAAAUGACACUUUUACCCUUGAAGAAAUGCAACAUGUAGCACAUAGGAUGCAUCAAGAUGGUCCGUUAUUUUGGGUACACCUGUCCUAGACGGACCCAACCCCUAUGUUGAGUCCCAUAAGUCAAAUGCACAUGAUGCAAACAAACAUUCCUACUAGGGAUCCGGCAUGAGGCUAUGUUAUUCUAGGUUUAAAAACCUGGAUUUAUUUGUUCUAGGCCUGGCUUACUCGAGCGGACAGCUCGAGACGAGGGGAGGCAGCGUACCGGGAAUACAGAAGCUUCACCGACUUUGCAACUUGUCCAAAGAUCGUGCUAAAAUUGGGAUAUGACUCUAACAGAAGAGAAGUCACACGAAGUGCACAUUUCCCAGUUGAUUUAGAAGACUCAGAGAGAAAAGGGUAUCGUAACAGUUUUUAUAUACAGUUUAAUUAAUAUCAAAGCGGUAAAAAAACGACAUUUAGCAUAUUAGGCCCAAACACGCAAAAAUCAGACAAUCAUGAAAGCCAAGUAUAGCAGUUAUUCUAAGCUCGAAUUCAAACCCUGAACCAGAAGUUCUGGAUUUUUAUCCCCAGCAGAGUCACCGGAGUUGUCACACCUCCUUUUUCACACCCCGGGGAGGGUAUAAGGGAGUUUUUUCCAAUUUAAGUGACAAUCGAAAUGGGAUUAUUUAUUUAAAAUUCAGAGUCGCCACUUGGGAUAAUUUAUGGUGUCCCAAGUCACCGGUUUAAAAUUUUGAAUCGUGAAAAGUUUGACUCUGUUUUACAGUUCGCGAACACAGAAAUCCGGGUAAGGAAUUCUGUUAACCCGGGAAAAGAUGUUAGGCAUUUCCGGGUUCCGUGGUUUUAGCACGGUCGCUCAACUAUUAUUAUUGGCCUAAUUAUCUGAUUUUUUACACGUUUUAAACCUAUUGUGCAUUUUUAACUUUUUAGUCACUUUUAAUAUUUCGAAAAAAUUCAAGGUUAUUUAAAAUACGUCGUAAGUCACGCUAUAUAAAAUGCACUCGUGGUUCACGACACGUUCUAUUUAACCUUUUUGGAAAUUAGAAUCGGGUCACAUAAAAUGCACACCCGGAUUUACCAUGUUUAUUUUAUUACUAUUCCAAGUUGUGGUCAGGUCAUAUGAAAUGCACACCCGGAUGAGAUUUACGUAUCGUGACCAUGUCACGGGAACCGUACCCAUAGCCACGAUAAUUUAUUAAUCUCACAUUAAUAAUCAUAAAGUAGACAAUGACUAAUUUUAUUAAUUGUCUACAACAAUUCAGUACUAUACUCAUGAUUCCUCAUUUCUGGCAUAAGAGACAAAAGGUAAUCUUUUUAAUUCCCUAAUUCUAUAUAUUAGUUAGAUCUUGGUUGAAAUUUAGCAUUAACAAUGAACAAGAGAUUCCUACGGCAAGCAAAAACAUUGACGCGAAGAGUAUACAAAGCAUUCUCCAAUAUACACAACUGGUUCAAUAUUGCAAGAAGAAAACACUUUAGCAAUGAAAUCAACGAAUUUGCAAAGGAAUACAUUUGAGACUGAUCAAUGCUGUAGCAGAUAUCAUAAAAUCAUGAAACACAAGCUCAUCCUAAAAUACUAGUGUAGCAGUUACAACCACUUAAAAUCAAAUCAAACUGUUAAUUAAAGUGUGAAAAAAAAUAAAUAGAUCAAUGAACACAGAAAUUCUUACGAGCACGCAUAUGCCGAAACAGAUCCGGAACACUGGAAUAGAACUCCUCGCCGGACAAAUAGGAACUUCGACGGAAAACCAACUGGAUUCUAUCGGAAUUUGAAUGAGACAAUAAUGAAACGAACCAUGUGACUAGAACCUCGGUCGAACCUAACUCGCAGAUAUUGUCCCUUUCUCGUUUCUAUGCGUGUGCGUGUAUGGCUGCUGGUUCGUUUUCCGGCGAGCUCGCCAGGCAUCGUCGAGGUGGUCGCUGGUUAAGAGUGUGGUGGUGACGGAAUUUCUAGGGUUUAGCUCCUAGGUUCAGUGGGUGGUCGUUGAAGAAGGGAUGAAGAAAGAGUCGAUGGGGGUCAUAGAAAGUCAGUGAUGGCUUUGAGACGAGAUAAAGAAACAAGCCGCUGGAAAUAUAUUUGGUCUCUUUGUUCGCUCCUUAGGUCCUUUUGAUGAAGAAGAUGACUGAAACCAUUUUUGUCUUCUCUCAAGUCAAAAAACGGCAGAUUGUAUCCCUAUAGGUCUAGGUCUUAG